GCUGUUAAGGGUUCGUAGGUUGGUUUCAGGGUUCUGGGGGGGCGGUGUCUUCGGACAUAUCCGCUUUCUACCCCAAACUCUGUUUUAGGCGGAACUGGGGUCUUGUUGACUCCUCGGGUUUCCGGGGUGAUACACACACGCAUAAGCCAUAUGCACCAAGGACCGUCCGCCGUUAUUCUGUGAGCAAAACAGCGUGUCCAAGGCGGGCAUUUUGCCCUGAAUGAUAAAGCAUGGAAUACAAUGGAUCGCACGAAGGAUUCUGCUUCUUUUGUUGGUUUUCAGGCUAGCUUCGUAGAUGUCUUGGGAAUACUCCCAGCCAGUGGUGGAAGGGCGUGCUCACGGGUUUCUCUCUUUCCCCCACUGGGCAUGGGAUGCCCAGGAAUGGGAUCAACGGGGACUGUCGGGGGAAGACGUUUGCCGCGUCAGAGGUGAAAUUCUUAGACCACGGCAAGACGAACCUAUGCGAAGGCAUCUUCCAGUAUGUCUUCGUUAAUCAGGAACCAAAGUGUGGAGAUCGAAGAUGAUUAGAGACCUUGUAGUCC
rnacentral:rRNA from 1 species